CCUACGGGUGGCACCAGUGGGGAAUAUUGCACAAUGGGCGCAAGCCUGAUGCAGCCAUGCCGCGUGUACGAAGAAGGCCUUAGGGUUGUAAAGCACUUUCAGUUGGGAGGAAGGCGUUGAUGCUAAUAUCAUCAACGAUUGACGUUACCAACAGAAGGGGCACCGGCUAACUCCGUGCCAGCAGCCGCGGUAAUACGGAGGGUGCAAGCGUUAAUCGGGAUUACUGGGCGUAAAGCGCACGCAGGCGGUUGAUUAAGUUAGAUGUGAAAUCCCCGGGCUUAACCUGGGAAUGGCAUCUAAGACUGGUCAGCUAGAGUCUUGUAGAGGGGGGUAGAAUUCCAUGUGUAGCGGUGAAAUGCGUAGAGAUGUGGAGGAAUACCGGUGGCGAAGGCGGCCCCCUGGACAAAGACUGACGCUCAGGUGCGAAAGCGUGGGGAGCAAACAGGAUUAGAUACCCUCGUAGUC
rnacentral:rRNA from 1 species